rnacentral:rRNA from 1 species
CAUGAAGCUGGAAUCGCUAGUAAUCGCGGAUCAGAAUGCCGCGGUGAAUACGUUCCCGGGUCUUGUACACACCGCCCGUCACACCAUGGGAGUCGGAAAUGCCCGAAGUCUGUGACCCAACCUGAGAGGGAGGGAGCAGCCGAAGGCAGGUCUGAUGACUGGGGCGAAGUCGUAACAAGGUAUC